GACGAACGCUGGCGGCGUGCCUAAUACAUGCAAGUCGAACGCAGUGGGGACGGGUGAGUAACAUGUGGGUAACCUCCCAUCAGAGGGGAUAACAUUUGGAAACAGGUGCUAAACUGAUACUGAGGGAUGGACUCGCGGUGCAUUAGCUAGUUGGUGAGGUAACGGCUCACCAAGGCCACGAUGAAUAGCCGGCCUGAGAGGGUGAUAGGACACACUGGGACUGAGACACGGCCCAGACUCCUACGGGAGGCAGCAGUAGGGAAUCUUCGGCAAUGGACGAAAGUCUGACCGAGCAACGCCGCGUGAGUGAAGAAGGUUUUCGGAUCGUAAAACUCGGUUGGUAGAGAAGCGGUAUCUAACCAGGAAGCCACGGCUAACUACGUGCCAGCAGCCGCGGUAAUUC
rnacentral:rRNA from 1 species